UGGGGAAUUUUGGACAAUGGGCGAAAGCCUGAUCCAGCAAUGCCGCGUGUGUGAAGAAGGCCUUCGGGUUGUAAAGCACUUUUGUCCGGAAAGAAAUCCUUGGCUCUAAUACAGUCGGGGGAUGACGGUACCGGAAGAAUAAGCACCGGCUAACUACGUGCCAGCAGCCGCGGUAAUACGUAGGGUGCAAGCGUUAAUCGGAAUUACUGGGCGUAAAGCGUGCGCAGGCGGUUUGCUAAGACCGAUGUGAAAUCCCCGGGCUCAACCUGGGAACUGCAUUGGUGACUGGCAGGCUAGAGUAUGGCAGAGGGGGGUAGAAUUCCACGUGUAGCAGUGAAAUGCGUAGAGAUGUGGAGGAAUACCGAUGGCGAAGGCGAGCCCCCUGGGCCAAUACUGACGCUCAUGCACGAAAGCGUGGGGGAGCAAAACAGGAUUAGAUACCCUGGUAGUCCACGCCCCUAAACGAUGUCAACUAGUUGUUGGGGAUUCAUUUCCUUAGUAACGUAGCUAACGCGUGAAGUUGACCGCCUGGGGAGUACGGUCGCAAGAUUAAAACUCAAAGGAAUUGACGGGGU
rnacentral:rRNA from 1 species